rnacentral:rRNA from 1 species
GAUGAACGCUGGCGGCGUGCUUAACACAUGCAAGUCGAACGAAGCAUUUAGAACGGAUUACUUCGGUUUGAAGUUCUUUAUGACUGAGUGGCGGACGGGUGAGUAACGCGUGGGUAACCUGCCUUGUACUGGGGGAUAGCAGCUGGAAACGGUGGUUAAUACCGCAUAAGCGUCCAAUGUUGCAUGACAUGGUGCGAAAAACUGCGGUGGUAUAGGAUGGAACCGCGUCUGAUUAGCGAGUUGGUGUGAUAACAGCCCAACAAGGCGACGAUCAGUAGCCGACCUGGGAUGGUGAUCGGGCACAAUGGGACUGAGACACGGCCCAGACUCUUAAAGGAGGCAGCAGUGGCGAAUAUUGCACAAUGGAGGAAACUCUGAUGCAGCGACGCCGAGUGAGUGAAGAAGUAAUUCGUUAUGUAAAGCUGUAUCAGCAGGGAAGAUAGUGACGGUACCUGACUAAGAAGCUCCGGCUAAAUACGUGCCAGCCGCCGCAGUAA